rnacentral:rRNA from 1 species
UACGAAGGGGGCUAGCGUUGCUCGGAAUCACUGGGCGUAAAGCGCACGUAGGCGGAUUCUUAAGUCGGUGGUGAAAUCCUGGAGCUCAACUCCAGAACUGCCUCCGAUACUGGGAGUCUCCGAGUCCGGGAGAGGUGAGUGGAACUGCGAGUGUAGAGGUGAAAUUCGUAGAUAUUCGCAAGAACACCAGUGGCGAAGGCGGCUCACUGGCCCGGUACUGACGCUGAGGUGCGAAAGCGUGGGGAGCAAACAGG